GAUGAACGCUGGCGGCGUGCCUAAUACAUGCAAGUCGAGCGAACGGACGAGAAGCUUGCUUUUCUGAUGUUAGCGGCGGACGGGUGAGUAACACGUGGAUAACCUACCUAUAAGACUGGGAUAACUUCGGGAAACCGGAGCUAAUACCGGAUAAUAUUUUGAACCGCAUGGUUCAAAAGUGAAAGACGGUCUUGCUGUCACUUAUAGAUGGAUCCGCGCUGCAUUAGCUAGUUGGUAAGGUAAAGGCUUACCAAGGCAACGAUGCAUAGCCGACCUGAGAGGGUGAUCGGCCACCCUGGAACUUGGACACGGUCCAGACUCCUACGGGAGGCAGCAGGAGGGAAUCUUCCGCAAUGGGCGAAAGCCUGACGGAGCAGCGCCGCGUGAGUUAUGAAGGUCUUCGGAUCGUAAAACUCUGUUAUGAGGGAAGAACAUAUGUGUAAGUAACUGUGCACAUCGUGACGGUACCUAAUCAGAAAGCCACGGCUAACUACGUG
rnacentral:rRNA from 1 species